CGGCGGAGCUGCAGGUUGCCGUGGCCAUGGCGGCUUUGCACCGCCUCGGGGUUCGUGGCCCAGGCGGCUCCCGUCCGCCCCGCCGCCGCCCCCGGCCUUGCUGGGCGGGCGGUAGGGAGGAGGCGCCUGCUGAUUUGGAGCCUCCGGUGGACGCGCCCCGUGGAGAGGAGGAGGGAGCGGUAAGGGAGCCGUCGCCCCGGCUUCGUCCACGCGGCUCAUUGCGGCGCGGGGUGCGCUGCCUUUGCUGACGGGCCGGGGCCUUGAAGACGUCCCUUUAGGCUUUGGGUCACCUGUUCUUAUUUUAUAAGUUCUUGGCUGGCCUCGGGUCACGAGGUUGUCAUGCCUCUGGCAGCAGGAGGUAGGAGCCCGCUGCUGGCGCAAGGAUGAGUGGAAAAGAUCCAGGGGCCCGGGAAGGGCACGAGGCUGGUCAGUGGCAGGUGCGGGCAUAGUCACCCCAGGACUCCUUCAGGACAGUUGGGGAUCCCACUGGACCAGCCCAGGCACCAUCCUCGGUCCUGGAAAGAGCGGAGAGGCAGGAAGACACUGCCUGACUCACAUUACAACAGGAAGAUGCAACCUGUGGUGCUGCUGGUCCGGGAGUCCGCUGCAAGAGUGGGUCAGAGCUGGCAGCAGUCUCCAGUGCAGGAGAAUCUGCAGGCCAUUAAUGCAUUAUUAAGAGGGAUGGCAAGGGGUGCUGGGUGACCCUGCAAUUAUAUGUAUCGUGUACAGGAUUCUUCCGGUAAAGUAAACCACGUUUAUUUACAGUC